CUUGCUUUUGAAGAUCAGCGGCGGACGGGUGAGUAACACGUGGGCAACCUGCCUGUAAGACUGGGAUAACUUCGGGAAACCGGAGCUAAUACCGGAUAAUCCUUUUCCUCUCAUGAGGAAAAGCUGAAAGACGGUUUCGGCUGUCACUUACAGAUGGGCCCGCGGCGCAUUAGCUAGUUGGUGAGGUAACGGCUCACCAAGGCGACGAUGCGUAGCCGACCUGAGAGGGUGAUCGGCCACACUGGGACUGAGACACGGCCCAGACUCCUACGGGAGGCAGCAGUAGGGAAUCUUCCGCAAUGGACGAAAGUCUGACGGAGCAACGCCGCGUGAGCGAUGAAGGCCUUCGGGUCGUAAAGCUCUGUUGUCAGGGAAGAACAAGUAUCGGAGUAACUGCCGGUACCUUGACGGUACCUGACCAGAAAGCCACGGCUAACUACGUGCCAGCAGCCGCGGUAAUACGUAGGUGGCAAGCGUUGUCCGGAAUUAUUGGGCGUAAAGCGCGCGCAGGCGGUUCCUUAAGUCUGAUGUGAAAGCCCCCGGCUCAACCGGGGAGGGUCAUUGGAAACUGGGGAACUUGAGUGCAGAAGAGGAGAGCGGAAUUCCACGUGUAGCGGUGA
rnacentral:rRNA from 2 species